UACAGAGGGUGCUAGCGUUGUUCGGAAUCAUUGGGCGUAAAGGGCGCGUAGGCGGCCUUCUAAGUCAGACGUGAAAUCCCCCGGCUUAACCUGGGAACUGCGUCUGAUACUGGGAGGCUUGAGUAUGGGAGAGGGAUGUAGAAUUCCAGGUGUAGCGGUGAAAUGCGUAGAUAUCUGGAGGAAUACCGGUGGCGAAGGCGGCAUCCUGGACCAUAACUGACGCUGAGGCGCGAAAGCUAGGGGAGCAAACGGG
rnacentral:rRNA from 1 species